UACGUAGGCAGCGAGCGUUGUUCGGAAUUACUGGGCGUAAAGAGUGUGUAGGCGGUGUUCCCAGUCUGUUGUGAAAUCUCCCGGCUUAACUGGGAGGGUGCAGCGGAAACUAGAAUGCUAGAGGAUGGGAGAGGUAAGCGGAAUUCCUGGUGUAGCGGUGAAAUGCGUAGAUAUCAGGAGGAACACCUGUGGUGUAGACAGCUUACUGGACCAUUUCUGACGCUGAGACACGAAAGCGUGGGUAGCAAACAGG
rnacentral:rRNA from 1 species